rnacentral:rRNA from 1 species
GACAGAGGGUGCGAACGUUGUUCGGAAUUACUGGGUGUAAAGCGCGUGUAGGCUGUUCGGAAAGUCGGGUGUGAAAGCCCUGGGCUCAACCUAGGAAGUGCACUCGAAACUCCCGAACUGGAGUCCCGGAGAGGAAGGUGGAAUUCUCGGUGUAGAGGUGAAAUUCGUAGAUAUCGAGAGGAACAUCGGUGGCGAAGGCGGCCUUCUGGACGGUGACUGACGCUGAGACGCGAAAGCGUGGGGAGCAAACAGG